rnacentral:misc_RNA from 1 species
AACUCUCAACCCCCUUGUUUUGUAACGAAACCAGUGUGGGCUUGGAUUAUGGCUGUUGCCGGCGUAAUUGUCGGCUCGGCUGAAAUACACGAGCUACCCAUUUCUUAGAAAUAGACGGUUUGACUCGGCGUAAUAAUAUAUUUCGCUGAGGACGUCACAUUCUUAAUAUUAGUGGUGCUUCUAAUGCGACAUCUAAAUCUUUAAGC